UGCACGAGAAGCAUUAUAAAGCCUUUACACAGCAUUUCCUUGGUAAUUCAUUAAUCUAAACUCCUUAAUGACAUACAAUAAACCCUCAGUGGAGUACAGUUAUCAGCUCCUUGGCUGAGGAUGCCAGUCACACCCCUCUUUAUGACACUCUCCCACUUUCAGAAAUUGACCACGAAGGUAUGCAAAACAUUUGCCUACAACCAAUAAAUAGCUCAAAUACAACACCUGAAACCAAGCCUCCAUGUAGGGAAUGUACUCAGCUUUCUACCCACUUCUCUUUGGCUUGCAGUCUUACCCAGAAACAGAGCAGUAGGAUGAGGAUGGCAAAGAAUCAACACAUCUCAUUCUGCUCAGUUAUGCCCACCAAGAGCAGGUCCUGAUAUCCAACUCCCCCCCUUCUUCCCAGCCCUAUGGUUUACAGCCAUCAAUUUCAGCAUCCCAACAAUGUGGUUCAUCCCACCAAGUUCCAAUGGCCACCAGCUCCUCCCAUUUGUUACUUAUUAUGUGUGCCUUCGCGUAGGGGCAUUUCACUUGGGCCCCUGACUGCCUAUUCAUCUCUUAAUACGUUUCAGCUCCUUUAGACAUAUGCAGCCUGCAAGCCUCAAAGUCAAUCCCUACAAAACCCCACAGUUCAGGUAUGCGCAUGCGCGAUAGCGGCCAGCUCUCGCCGCCAGCUGGAUUGCACGCAGUACACAGCGCUACUUCCGCGUUUCCGCGCGCAUGCGUGGUAUCUCAUGGAGGACCUAAUACCAUAGAGCCUGGCAGCGCAGAGCGGCUCAAAGAGGAGCAAUGCGGUGGGGCACGCAGGUAUCACACAGUGCUGCGCCAAUGGCGGGGCCGCUGGGAGAUCCCAACCGACAGAGCGUGUGGCUCUCUGGGUUCCCUGUUUCUUGGAGCUACAGAUGAAUAGUUAUUGCAGUGUGUUGCCAAACUGUGACAGCCAGCCGUCACCAGCCAUGAAGUACUUCAGAGACAAUCCAAAUGUUCUCUCCGAACGUCAUCAUGGAAGAAGCAGCAUUUUGUGGGAGCUCUCAUGAGGUGGAAGGAGAAGAGAAAUAAGCAGCCACACUUCUGAAGAAAGUCAAGGGGAAAGCGUAAAUAAUAAAAGCUUUGGCAGCAGCUGUAGAGCUGGAAUGAGAAUGGAAUAGAAAGCUGCAUUUUAAUCACAGCUUGUACAUUUUUGUCCUUAUACAAGUCAGUGAAAUGUGACAGUGCCAAGAAGUUGCAUCUGGUUUACACCAAGGAAGCUAAAGAGGUGACUUGAUCACUGCCUUCAAGUACAAGAUCUGCUGCAAAUGGAACCAUUUGGAAUGCAGCCUAAAUCCCACUGGAGCAAUUGGGAUGCAGAUGGCAAGGAAGGCUGAAGGGAAUUUGGAUACAUGCUGUGCCAUGGAUGUCUAAAUGGGAGAGAGGGUCUUCUAGGAGCACAUAAAGGACCCUCGAGGAGACAAGCAUUGGGAAAAAACUGUGUCAGAACAUCUGAAAUGCCUCCUUCAUCAUCCCAACUUUGGGAGCACUUAUUUAACCUAUAUCAGCAUGACUCAAAACAACAUCAGUGUUUGUCUCUGGAGUGAAAAGAAAUAAUGUGCUUUGUUCUGCUGCUUCCUAUUCAAAGAGAUGUCACCACGAUGAAGCCCUUGAUGGAUUCCUGGGUGAGUCCCACAUGGUGGUGAUGGAUUGCUGCUCUGUGCUGCUGCACGCUCCAGCUGUCUCCAUGGUUCAGUCUGCUGGAUUGACAGAGCCCAUAAAUCACUCUGGAAGCCAGCAGGGAGGCAGAGAGGAUGUGUCUUUGUAGCACAUUUACAUGCUGUAUCAGCCCCUUGCAGUCUGGGAGCAGAGGGGAGGACGGAGGCAGCAGAACAAAGUGUGCAGGUAAGGCAGUGGAGGUGUGGAUGUGCAGGCACAACGUGUGCACAAGGAAAUGUCUCGUGGGCUUCUGUGCCAGUGGGUGCACAUCUGGCUGCAAAGGGCCUCUUGCACAGUGUGAACCAUGUGUGGCUUUGAGUGGAAGGGAUCCCAGCACUGGGAAAAAACUCAUAGCCAGGAUGUGUUUGUGGGAAAGGAGGUUGAGCUUAGAUCGAUCGUAGGUUUGGAAAGGACCCUUGAAGGUCAUGUAGUCCAACUGCCAUUCACUGAACAGAGACACCUGCAGUUCCAUCAGGUGCUCAGAGCCUCAUCCAGCCCGACCUUUGAUGUCUCCAAACUUGGCUGCCUUGGCUUGGUGUAGCUCUUUGUGUGCCCAUAAACAUAAGGGAUAUCUGUAGCAGAAAUGCUAAGUCACGGCUUCAAGCAGUGAUUGAGCACCUGGAGGGAAGGCAGGGCCAGCUCAGGGGAGCUCAGCUGCAUGCAAUGGAGCCGGAUCCACCCCUUCCCAGACCUGAUUUAAAGGUUGGCAGUGGGAGCAAAGGUAUUUUGCUGGAGAUCCUUGUGUACUUUGAGGCUUUUGGAAGGUUGAUGCUGGUGUCCCUCUCUUCACCACUCCCACUGGGAAGCACUAAAUGCCAAAUCACUAAAAGCAUCGCCGGUUGCUCUGAGGAACGAUUCAUCACUCUGGUUUGGUGGCAGCAUAUUUAUCCCCCCGUGAGCCCACCCUACAAGAGGAGAGAGAGUAAUCGCACUGGGAAGCAGAAGUUGCUGCAGAGGUGAAAGGUUCUGCAACUGACUCACUGGAAAAGGGGGAGAACGAUGUGCAAAAGAACCUGCAGAUAUCCCAGUGGAUUUCAGAUCCUCUUCCCAUGUUCCUUGGAGCUCAAACACAAACAUUGUGACAGAGCUCAGAACUCUGAGUUUGUGUCCAUGCAACAACAGCCCUGGUGGAAUGUCUGAAGGGUCCU